ACGGGUGAGUAACACGUAGGCAACCUGCCCACCAGACGGGGAUAACGACCGGAAACGGUAGCUAAUACCGGAUAGAUCCUGUCGCCGCAUGGCGAGAGGAAGAAAGGCGGCUUGGGCUGUCGUUGGUGGAAGGGCCUGCGGCGCAUUAGCUAGUUGGUAGAGUAACGGCCUACCAAGGCGACGAUGCGUAGCCGACCUGAGAGGGUGAACGGCCACACUGGGACUGAGACACGGCCCAGACUCCUACGGGAGGCAGCAGUAGGGAAUCUUCCGCAAUGGGCGCAAGCCUGACGGAGCAACGCCGCGUGAGUGAAGAAGGUUUUCGGAUCGUAAAGCUCUGUUGCCAGGGAAGAACGACUUUUGGAGGAACUGCCAGAAGAGUGACGGUACCUGAGAAGAAAGCCCCGGCUAACUACGUGCCAGCAGCCGCGGUAAUACGUAGGGGGCAAGCGUUGUCCGGAAUUAUUGGGCGUAAAGCGCGCGCAGGCGGCCGUUUAAGUCCGGUGUAUAAGCCCGGGGCUCAACCCCGGAUCGCACGGGAAACUGGAGGGCUUGAGAACAGCAGAGGAGAGUGGAAUUC
rnacentral:rRNA from 1 species